rnacentral:rRNA from 1 species
GCAAGUCGAACGCUAUCUUUGAUAGAGUGGCGCACGGGUGAGUAACGCGUGGGAACCUGCCUUUCUCUGCGGGACAACGAUUGGAAACGACCGCUAAUACCGCAUACGCCCUACGGGGGAAAGGUUUACCGGAGAAAGAGGGGCCCGCGUUCGAUUAGCUAGUUGGUAGGGUAAUGGCCUACCAAGGCGACGAUCCGUAGCUGGUCUGAGAGGAUGGCC